AAUAGCAUACACAGCAGAGCACAAUUCCUAAUAAGAACACAUUGCUACUCAUUUUCAUUAAGGUGCUCAUAUUAUGCUCAUCUUCAUGUUCAUAAUUGUAUUUAGAGAUUGUACCAGAAUAAGUUUACAUGGUUUAAAAAAAAAGUGCUUUUUCACUUUGUAAACCUAUAACGUGCACAACAAAGAUAUAUAACAGAAUAAAGGUAAGGGAAAAAGCCAAAAAGCAUAAUAUGAGCACUUUAACAUGUUAUUUAUGAGAAACGGCUCCAGUAAUCCAGACUGUCCUCGUAAGCAAUAUCAAAUCCUCUAUUUCUCUUUUUAUAUUUGAUAUUACCUCUGACAUGCAGAAUGAUUAGACUAAUUAUUCUUUUGUUUUCUUUUUGUUUGUCCUAAAAAAUGUGUGUCUGCUGCAUCAGACUUAGUUGAAGACGCUGUUUGAAUAGGCCUCUUUUAUGUGUUUGCUUUGUCUAUAGCUAAAGAUGAAAUGCCCAGUUUUCUCAUUAAUAAAUUAUAAUGUACUUCUGAUGCCGAUUUUAAGAAAUGUUCACUAAUCGGUCUUUACACUGAUGACUUGUUAACCACAGUUUAUUUGACAUAUACAUUUGAAAUCCUUCAUGGAUUAUACCUUUAAGUGUUUUCCAAGAAAAUUCCCUCUGAAUAAUGAGGAUUAAUGUUCUGAGGAAUGGAAGUCAAUCACAUCAACUCAACCGAGAGUGACUCUGUUUUCAAUGACGAACAUUUUGAUAUAUUUUAACUUGAUAGGGCACUAUAGCUCAGUCCUCUCAUCCCGUCUCAUCACCAUCUGGUAUUUUGCACCCAAUGAUUGCCCAAGUGUCUUUGUAAUCAACUUCUAAUAUACUUUAAGACUGUAUAAAAGGGACUGUAGUUUGAUUUAAAUCCUGUCUGGGUGCUUAACGCUAUCCAUAUAAAGCCCUGUCGGCAGGAAACAAG